AUAUGAAUCCCCCAUCAAUAACAGGCUAACCUAUACUACAAUAGGAGAAUUAAUGCUAGAAUGAGUAACCAGGGUAACUCCCUCUACGACGCAAGCUUACAUCAGUACAUUAUUAACAAGUACCCAAUAUACGACAAAUCCAACAAGCAGAGUAUUAAACACCUUGUUAACCCGACAGAGGAGCGUCCGUAAGAAAGAUUAAAACCUGUAAAAGGAACUCGGCAAACCCGUCAAGGCCCGACUGUUUACCAAAAACAUAGCCUUCAGCAAACCAAAGGACAAGUAUUGAAGGUGAUGCCUGCCCGGUGACAUAGUUCAACGGCCGCGGUAUCCUGACCGUGCAAAGGUAGCGCAAUCAAUUGUCCCGUAAAUCGGGACACGUAUGAAUGGCUAAACGAGGUCUUAACUGUCUCUUACAGGCAAUCGGUGAAAUUGAUCUCCCUGUGCGAAAGCAGGGAUAACCCCAUAAGACGAGAAGACCCUGUGGAACUUCAAAAACAGCAACCACCCCAAUAUACAUUCACACCCAAAGCACUGGUUUGCAUUUUUUCGGUUGGGGCGACCUUGGAGCAAAACAAAACCUCCAAAAACUGGACCAUACCUCCAGACUGAGAGCAACCCCUCAACGUGCCAAAAGCACCCAGACCCAAUACAAUUGAUCAAUGGACCAAGCUACCCCAGGGAUAACAGCGCAAUCUCCCCCGAGAGUCCAUAUCGACGGGGAGGUUUACGACCUCGAUGUUGGAUCAGGACAUCCUAGUGGUGCAGGAGCUACUAAGGGUUCGUUUGUUCAACGAUUAAUAGUCCUACGUGAUCUGAGUUCAGACCGGAGCAAUCCAGGUCGGUUUCUAUCUAUGAUGAACUCUUCCUCGUACGAAAGGAUCGGAAAAGUGAGGCCAAUACCACAAGCAAGCCUUCGCCUUAAGUAAUGAAGUC
rnacentral:rRNA from 1 species